rnacentral:rRNA from 1 species
GAUGAACGCUGGCGGCGUGCCUAAUACAUGCAAGUCGAGCGAACACUUCGGUGUUAGCGGCGAACGGGUGAGUAACACGUAAGUAACCUACCUAUAAGACGGGGAUAACUAUUGGAAACGAUAGCUAAUACCGGAUAGGAUAUUUAUAUUUAAAGAUGCAUACAAGCAUCGCUUAUAGAGGGGCUUGCGGCGCAUUAGCUAGUUGGUAGGGUAAAGGCCUACCAAGGCGACGAUGCGUAGCCGACCUGAGAGGGUGAACGGCCACACUGGGACUGAGACACGGCCCAGACUCCUACGGGAGGCAGCAGUAGGGAAUCUUCCACAAUGGACGAAAGUCUGAUGGAGCAACGCCGCGUGAGUGAAGAAGGUCUUCGGAUUGUAAAGCUCUGUUAUUAGGGAAGAAAGACUGUAGUAGGAAAUGGCUAUAGAGUGACGGUACCUAAUGAGAAAGCCACGGCUAACUACGUG